UCCCUAGUAGCUUAAAUCAAAGCAUUUAACUGUUAAUUAAAAUAAUACUUAUAAAAUUAAGUCUAGAGAG
rnacentral:tRNA from 1 species